rnacentral:rRNA from 1 species
AUGAUGAGACGGUUCAAAAGCUUCAUUGAUGACAAUGCUCUCAAGGAGCUCUUCCUUCACGGGCGCAACUACACGUGGAGCAACGAGCGCGAGAACCCCACGAUGACUAAGAUCGACCGUGCUUUUGUCUCCAUUGAUUGGGAGCUUGACCACCCCGGUUGCCUCCUUCAGGCUUUAUCCACGGCAAUUUCAGACCAUUGCCCCCUCCACUUGGCACUGGACGAUCACAUGGGGCCGCGGAGGCGUUUUCGCUUCAAGAAGUUUUGGGUGAAGAUGGACGGUUUCUUGGAAGUGGUGCAGGAGGCUUGGACUUGUGACGAGACAAUCACGGACCCGUUCAGGAGACCUGACAUCCUCCUUAGGAGCACGACAAAAACUCUUGCGAUUUGGGGCCAAAAGAGAGUGGUCAAUAUCAAGAUGCAAUUGGCUGUGGCCAACAUUGUCAUCUUGAGAUUCGACCGUGCCCAGGAGUUUCGGGUGCUCACGGAGGAGGAGAGGCGGCUCAGGAGAUCGCUCAAACAGCUUGUACUCGGCCUCGCCUCGCUGGAGCGAGCGAUUUCUCGCCAGAGAUCGCGAAUAACCUGGCUUCGGGAGGGGGAUGCAAAUACAAAGCUGUUCCAUUUGGUUGCGAAUGGCAGAAGGAUGAAGAACUAUAUUCCGUCACUCUUGGUAGAUGGGCGCAUGGUCACGGACCAAGCCGGAAAGGAGGCUGCGUUCUACGACACUUACAAGGAGCUGCUUGGGAAGGACGUCGCUCAUGAGUACACCCUGGACCUGGACGAGCUUGGCAUUCAAAGAUUUGACCUCUCGGACCAGGAUCUUCAUUUCAACGACGAGGAGAUUUGGGCUGUGAUCAGUAGCAUGCCGGCGGAUCGAGCCCCGGGGCUAGAUGGUUUUAUCGGCCUCUUCUUCAAGAAGGCCUGGGAGAUAAUAAAACUGGACGUUAUCGCGGCUUUGCACAAGCUAUUUGUCGGGAACGGACGUGGGUUUGGCAGGCUGAAUCAAACGUUGAUCACCUUAAUACCUAAAACCCCGGAGGCCUCAACCACUCUUGACUACCGCCCCAUAAGCCUGGAGCAUAGCCUACCGAAGAUCGCUUCAAAGCUCUGGGCAAAUAGGCUAUGUCCUCGGAUGGGAGAGCUAGUUCACAUAAACCAAUCGGCGUUCAUCAAGGGUAGAAGCAUCCAUGACAACUUCCUGCUUGUUAGGCAAAUGGCGCGGCGAUUACAUCAACGGAAGGCCAAAGGCGUGAUGCUCAAGCUUGAUAUCUCUAAAGCUUUUGACUCCCUUUCGUGGCCCUUCCUCUUUGAGGUGCUC